GACUCUCGGCAACGGAUAUCUCGGCUCUCGCAUCGAUGAAGAACGUAGCGAAAUGCGAUACGUGGUGUGAAUUGCAGAAUCCCAUAAACCAUCGAGUCUUUGAAUGCAAGUUGCGCCCGAGGCCACUCGGCCAAGGGCACGCGUGCCUAGGCGUCA
rnacentral:rRNA from 16 species